UUGACGGGGCCCGCACAAGCAGUGGAGUAUGUGGUUUAAUUCGAAGCAACGCGAAGAACCUUUACCAGGGCUUGACAUCCCUUGAAACAGCUAGAGAUAGCUGUGUCCUUCGGGACAAGGAGACAGGUGGUGCAUGGUUGUCGUCAGCUCGUGUCGUGAGAUGUUGGGUUAAGUCCCGCAACGAGCGCAACCCCUGUGGUUAGUUGCCAGCAAGUAGCGUUGGGCACUCUAGCCAGACUGCCGGUGAUAAAUCGGAGGAAGGUGGGGACGACGUCAAAUCAUCAUGCCCUUUAUGUUCUGGGCUACACACGUGCUACAAUGGCCGGUACAGACGGACGCAAAGCCGCGAGGUGGAGCAAAUCCUAAAAAGCCGGUCUCAGUUCGGAUUGCAGGCUGCAAUUCGCCUGCAUGAAGUCGGAAUCGCUAGUAAUCGCAGGUCAGCAUACUGCGGUGAAUACGUUCCCGGGCCUU
rnacentral:rRNA from 1 species